AUUAGACGAAUCAUCUGGAAAGAUGAAUCAAAGAAGGUAAUAAUCCUGUAGUCGAAAAUGUUGUCUCUCUUGAGUGGAUCCUGAGUACGACGGAGCACGUGAAAUUCCGUCGGAAUCUGGGAGGACCAUCUCCUAAGGCUAAAUACUCUCUAGUGACCGAUAGUGAACCAGUACCGUGAGGGAAAGGUGAAAAGCACCCCGGAAGGGGAGUGAAAUAGAACCUGAAACCGUGUGCUUACAAGUAGUCAGAGCCCGUUAAUGGGUGAUGGCGUGCCUUUUGUAGAAUGAACCGGCGAGUUACGAUUUGAUGCAAGGUUAAGCAGUAAAUGUGGAGCCGUAGCGAAAGCGAGUCUGAAUAGGGCGUUUAGUAUUUGGUCGUAGACCCGAAACCAGGUGAUCUACCCUUGGUCAGGUUGAAGUUCAGGUAACACUGAAUGGAGGACCGAACCGACUUACGUUGAAAAGUGAGCGGAUGAACUGAGGGUAGCGGAGAAAUUCCAAU
rnacentral:rRNA from 1 species